UACAGGGGGUGCAAACGUUGCUCGGAAUUAUUGGGCGUAAAGCGCGCGUAGGCGGCUACUUAAGUCGGAUGUGAAAGCCCCUGGCUCAACUGGGGAAGUGCACCCGAAACUGAGCAGCUAGAGUACGAAAGAGGGUCGCGGAAUUCCCGGUGUAGAGGUGAAAUUCGUAGAUAUCGGGAGGAACACCAGUGGCGAAGGCGGCGAUCUGGGUGGAUACUGACGCUGAGGUGCGAAAGCGUGGGGAGCAAACAGG
rnacentral:rRNA from 1 species